rnacentral:rRNA from 1 species
GAGUUUGAUCGUGGCUCAGGAUGAACGCUGGCGGCAUGCCUAACACAUGCAAGUCGAACGGGGUUUAUAUAACAGAACUCUUCGGAGGGAAGAUAUAUAAACCUAGUGGCGGACGGGUGAGUAACGCGUGGGCAACCUGCCCUGUACCGGGGACAACAGCCAGAAAUGGCUGCUAAUACCGCAUAAGCCUGCGGUGCCGCAUGGCACAGCAGGGAAAACCACGGUGGUACAGGAUGGGCCCGCGUCUGAUUAGUUAGUUGGCAGGGUAACGGCCUACCAAGACGAUGAUCAGUAGCCGGCUUGAGAGAGUGGACGGCCACAUUGGGACUGAGACACGGCCCAGACUCCUGCGGGAGGCAGCAGUGGGGAAUAUUGCACAAUGGGGGGAACCCUGAUGCAGCAAUGCCGCGUGGGUGAAGAAGCACUCCGGUGCGUAAAGCCCUGUCAGCAGGGAAGAAAAUGACAGUACCUGACCAAGAAGCCCGGCUAACUACGUGCCAGCAGCCGACCG